GUUCAUUUUUACACAUAUGGCUCCAGUCUUUGUUUAGCAAGACUGUCCUUUCUCCAUUGAAUUGCCUUAGCACUUGUGUUGAAGGUGUGGGUUCUGUUCUCUCCCACUGAUCUAUGUGAACUGCCUUCCUCCAAGGAAGGGAUGUGUUAUCUCAUAUACUCAUAGAGUGUACAGACUUCAACACUGUAGGUUUACAGUGAGGUCAUGAAAUCAGGUAGGUAAGGCCUCCAACUUUGUUCUUCUUUCUCAACAUUGCUUAGGCUAUUCUACUUUCUUUGAUUUUUCAUACAAAUUUAGAAUAAAAUUUCCCAUUUCAAAAAAUAGCUUGCUGGGAUUUUGAUGGAAAUUGAAUUUUAAUUGGGAUUUAUUGCACUGAAUCUAAGAUCUAUUUGGAGAGAAUUGAUAUCUUAACACAACUGAGUUUUCUCAUCCAUGAACAUGAUAUAUCUCUCCAUCUUUCAGGUCUUGCUUAGUUUCAUUAAUAAUUUAUAGUUAUAACUAAAGAUGAGAUGGCAGAGGCUGCGGCCAUGGCUUUACAGCCAUGGGAACAGAGCAAGUUAUAGCUAGGCCCACUGCAGCCGGGAAGCUGGGCAGGAAACUAAGGCCUGUGGGCGGGGCCAGCCAGGCCUGGGUGCAGGUAGUAUGGGUCCCGCACACCCUGCUGGGGAGAUGCAAGGGACUCUGACUACAACCAGGUUCUGUAAAUUAUAAACAACACAAACUUAGAAAAGCAUCAUCUGUUGGAAUUAGUGUCAAAUGGGCAAUGUUAUAAAAGAAGCUGUAGAACCUCAGUAGGGACACAGACUUUCAGACUAGAGUAAAUGGAAGGCUGCUAGAGACUUUCUCCACAUUCAAAGAAAAGCAAACAAACGUCUUAGAGUAAUUUAAAUCAUUUUUCUUUUGAGAUUCUUUUCAUAUUUAUGAUUUUAAUACUUUAUGCUGAUUAACUACAUAGAGAUUAUAGGCUUUGCAAAAGGAAUACCUCAGCCUGUCACAGUUACAUUUGUAUGAAACGACCUCACUGCAGGAAUGUUAACAAUUGUAUUAGAGGUUCCGUUUCUAAGUUUAAAUAGGAAUAAUCUACCUCAAUCUAUUCAGUUAGAACAAAAGCCACUUCCGCAAAGCAAUAAGCAUGUAUCUUCUUCCAGCCUAGUUGCAUUUGAUUAACGAUUGCAUGAGAACCUUUCUCAUACUUAGCUUUUCACCUGGGGUUUUUGAAAUGCUUA
rnacentral:lncRNA from 1 species